AAGAAAGAACGAGCGCAGACAAGACCAGUGUUAGAACGCUCUGUGAAAAUUUUGUUUUAGUGGCGGACAAAAGCGCUUUUUUUCGUUAGAAUGGUAUGAAUAUCGUGCAUCCUUGUGCCAGUAUUUCUGUUUAUCUGGCACAAGUUCAUUCAGCCGCUGGUCGACAGAUGGUAUGGGAAACCGAAACUCGAAAGUGGCACAGCAGAUGGGAAACUGAAUUCCGACGAAAAGGAACUACAAGAUGUACCCAAUGGUGAUCUAAAAGCAGGUGUUUUACCUGCUAAAGAGGUUGCUGUAGAUGGCCAUGACAAGUCUGAAUAGGAACUUGCAGUAUUCAUGAACUGGUCAAGUCGAUCUGAGAAAUCUUUGCAAAACAAGGAUCAUGAAGACUUUUGAUAAAAUCCUGAACAUAGGACAGUCAAGAGUUGGAGGAACAAGACGCUUUGCUUUGCAAAGAGAAAGUGGCAGUGGCAUGAGCAGUUCAUUUAACUACAAAGAGGAUAAUGACAAAUUUAUGUUCAACUCACAGAUAUUUGAUAUCUCUAGUACAUGUACAUGUACCACACUGUAUACUAAAAUUAAUAAUUCUGAUAAACUGCACUUGUAAUUUAUGCAUUAGGGGUAAUAAUUUAUUGCAUUUAUUAUGCAUAAGAAGACAUUGGUAAUACAAACUGAACAGUGUCCCACAAAUAGUUUCCUGUAAUUGAAUAAUAUCAUCGUACAUGUAAUGGUUUUUAAAACACUGUUUAAAAGAACAGUGAAAACAACCUACUUAGUACAUGUGUAUGUGUUUUAAUAUUUAUUUAUUGUCUUAAAUUUGUCUACAUCAUUCUGACCAGAGGUGUACCGUUUCUUAAAUUAUCAACAUAAAUUACAGUUCAUAAACAGUA